rnacentral:rRNA from 1 species
AAUAAUUUAUUUGAUGGUUCCUUACUACAUGGAUAACUGUAGUAAUUCUAGAGCUAAUACAUGCGUAAAGUCCCGACUCUCGCGGGGAGGGAUGUAUUUAUUAGAUUAAAAACCAAUGCGUCCUUUGGGCGGUUUUGUGUUGACUCAUAGUAACUUUUUGGAUCGCAUGGCUUCACGCCGGCGACAGUUCAUUCAAAUUUCUGUCCUAUCAGCUUUCGACGGUAGUGUAGUGGACUAUCGUGGCAUUUAUGGGUGACGGAGAAUUAGGGUUCGAUUCCGGAGAGGGAGCCUGAGAAACGGCUACCACA